rnacentral:lncRNA from 1 species
AAAAGUGCUUCAAAGAUAUAUAAUUUACAAGGCAUUUUACAUUCACUUUGUUUAAAAACGCUAAUAUUAGUCUCUAAUUCCAAUUCUCAUGCCGUAAAUUCAAUUUCCAUAAAUAUAUGGUUAAAAAUGCAAUUAAUUGAAAUACGUAUUUACAUACAUGGCGGCAUGAGUAUUAUACAUUUGAAAGAGUAUCUAUUUGAUGUAUUUCACAUGUAUUUCCAAUUUAUUACAAGUGGAGCAAGUGGAAGAAAAUAAUGUUGAAAAGUCAAAAAUAGUGACUGCCUCAAGCAAGAAGCAGCUGUCGGUAAAACAAUCAUAACUUGAGCUGCAGACAUUGGAUCGAGGUUAUUCAAGUUGGGUUGGAAAGAUAAGGCACGUUUCUACAAUUUCUUGUUUUGGAAAAAGUCAAAUUCGUAUCACAAGACAGCCAAAAUAACCGUGCAAAGUCCAGCUUGUUACCUGCCGGAUACAGCUUUACCUGUGAAGCAGCACUUAUUGUUUUUGUCAUAUCUGGAGUUAUAUAGAUCCAAUGAACCUGAUAUUUGAACCAAUGGAAAGCUAACUCAAGUAGAAA